UUCUGUUCCUUGUUAAUAGGUUUUCUGUAUCACAAUAAUAGGUUUCUCCUCCAAGGAAGUAAGCGGGAUCAAGCCGAAUUGAAAAAGUAAAAGAACAGGUUUAUUGGAGCAAAGCAACUCCUGGGUGCUGAAAUGGCAGCCUGGAGAGGCCAGAUAACGUGUCCCAAACCAUACAACUAAUGUUGCAAAGCCAGGAUUCAAACUUGGAACAUCGCAUUGCAGAAUAGAAGACAACACUGUGUCCUAAAACAUGUCCUCUAGUGGAUUAGUAGCAUGGCAUUUGACAGUGAACUCUCUGCUACCCAAUGGCCAUUGUUUGGAGCACUGUAAUUAGACACAGCCAGCCUGAAGAAGCAAAACUGAAUUUUACAAACAAAACUUAUUAGAAAUGUGUGUUGUUGGAUUACCUUCACGAUGAAGGAUAAUUGGGACCAGGAUUGCAGAACAUUGCCUGGGGGAGUUCGUUUUUAAGAAAGGAAAUAGGGGGAGGGGUAGCGUUCGCUGAAUUAAUUCCACAGCAACGAACUCUUCUGAGACAAGGUCAGGAGAUGUGGAAGCUUACUUUCUUAAACAGUGUCCACAUUCUUCUCAAGUUUGUAUCGCUUUCGGCUUGUUUAAGUCCUGUGUAGCAGCUCUACCCUGAGCCCCAUCUGGGAGGUCAGUGUUGUGCUAGAUACUGGCGACACAGCUGUGGCAGCUCUACUCUCGGGGACUAGGACCCGUGUAUCAGGAGGCAGACGAAAACAAAUAAUGAAAAAAUUCUUUUUCAAGUGUUGGAGAUUGGGCAAAAGAAGAAGACCUUGAGCAUGAAGGGAACCAGAAUAUUCAAAUUCAAAUCAGAGGGCAAAGUUGGAGUCUCCAGAGAGAACUGGCAGCAGAAGGUGACACAAGAGAUGUCCAGGCAUCAUACCAGGCACAGGGUGUAUACAUAAGAACAGAGUCAGCUACCAGGGUGAGGAGACGGCCAUUUGAACAGAGACACAGAUACAUGACUGAAGGCCAAGAGACAAGAGGUUUGCAAGGCUAGGUAGGGUGAGGGACCAGAAUGGCAGCAAGGAGUGGGGUCUGUGAUGCUUCACUUCGAUUGCAAGCCUGACGGGGCUAAAUGCUCGUCAGCUAGAAAGCACUGUUUCCGGAUGUCUCUGCAAGAGUGUUUCCAAAAGAAGAUAGUGCUACAACCAUCAGGCUUAGUAAAGGAGAUUGCUCUUGUCAGUGUGGGUGGGAAUUGUCUUUGAAUACAGAGGCCCAAACAGAACACAGAAAUAAAGGAAGGGCCAGUCUGUCCUCCCUUCUUGAGCUAGAUCAUCCAUGUUUGUCUUCGCGGGACAUCAGAGCCCCUGGUUUUGAUCCUUGGGGCUCCAACAUUUACACCCCACUCCCUGGUUCUCCCUAGUCUUUCUUCCAGUUUUGUGCUGAACUGUAUCACUGGCCUUCCAGUUGUAAAUCCUGCAGAGGGAAUUUUAAUACUACUUCGUUAACUUUAUCUUUUCGGAUUGGAGGAGGAACAAUGUGAUGUGUGAAGAGCCUCCUAGCCAUCAAAAAGAUACGGCAGGCAUGUGAAGGACAAUUAAGGAAGAGAUUGGCAGAGUUACUAAAUCCAAACUUAGCCUGGGCCAGCAGUAAUGAGCAUUGGCCACAACGACCUGGGGAGGUCACCAGGCAGGUGUGAAAGCAUAUUGUGACAUUCCCAAAGGUCUCUGGAUUCCAUCUUGGUUAUCGCCAUAAUCUGCAUUGGUGGAAAGAAGCAAAUCUCAGCACCCCCCAGGAUGCUUGCAAGUCUGGUUUGAGACCCAACUCCACUCCAUUUUCUUGGUGGACUCUUCUGGGGUCCACUGCCGUUGUCUGUAAAAUCACAGCCAUCAGGAUCCCAGCACAAUGCAGCUGUAUCCUUAGAGAGGUUCUAAUAAAGAAACUGUCACCACUGUGGGCAGGACAGGGCAAACCAGUGAGCAACAGCACACACCAGA